rnacentral:sRNA from 1 species
CCCGGGCCUCCGCCGGCCCCCUCCCCCAGGCGGCCCCGCGCGCCCUUGGCCGGGCCCCGUGCGCGCCCGCUCGCCUGGCGCCUGCCUGCCGGCCUCUCCCAGCCGGGCCCCUUCCCGCCGCCGCGGACCCUCAGCUUCCUUGCGGCGCGGCGCGGCCCGGCUCGCUCUCCUUCCUCCGACGCGCAGUUCGGGCUGAGUCCCGGGCCCGGCGCAGGCUUCGUUCGACGAGUUAGUCCACACUGCGCUCUCCAGCCUCCUGGGUCUGUGCGCCCUUUUCCUUGCUCCUUCCCUCCAGGCUGUAACCCACGUUUGACCCGGCUGGGGACAUUUCUGGGCCGGAACUGGGGAGCGUGUUUUGCUUCCCAGCCCACGCUGGGCAGGCAGUGGCCUACUUUGCGUGGGGCGCCCCGUGCUCCUCAGUGACUCGGAGGGAAGCUGGCGUGGCUUUCGCUCUGGUUAAACUAGUAACAGUCAGGCUCUUUCCAGUGGGCUUUAAAGUGUCCCUCACCUUCAUCCCUGACCGGGCCCCCUAUCUAGGUUUUCGCUACAGUGUUGGCUGCUCCUUUGUUCGCGGAGGGGAAGCAAAGAACCUCGGGCUGAUGGUUCUCAGCACCCGAGGGGGACAAAGUUGCCGUGAGAGGCGCAGCCUGCUCGUGGGCUGGUCUGAGCUGUUGGUUGUGUUUUGUUUGAGGAUUUGGUCCUCCUCAGGAGAGUCAUUUCAAAACAUGCCGAGGAUGCUUGAUGCACUGAGCUUGGAGCUGGUGACAUCAAGUCAACUGGCCGCGUAAACACCUGGGUGGCUCAAGCACAGCUUCAGGUACUGUUAAGCCGGGCACAGGGGCCCCGCUCCGCCCGGACAGCUGCCGCCUUGCUGCGCUGCGCACCCCAGAGAGCCUCCGGCACCGCCUCCGCUGCGGCAAAGCGGGCUGUUUGUCUGAGGGCCUCUGGCGCUCCCUUGGCCCAGACGCUGCACAUUGUUCGGGCCAGGGACUGGGUCAAGGAGAUUACGCAGACGCUGGGAGCACACGGGCAGAGUGGACCAAGAGAGGUCGGGGCAUCAUAGGGAUUUUUCGAGAUCAACAAAAAACUACAGUGAUUGAAAACGGGGAAAUCAGGUUCAAUGGAAAAGGGAAAAAGAUUCGGAAGCCUCGGACCAUUUAUUCCAGCCUGCAGCUCCAGGCUUUAAACCAUCGCUUUCAGCAGACACAGUAUCUGGCCCUUCCAGAGAGAGCCGAACUGGCAGCUUCCUUAGGACUGACACAAACACAGGUGAAGAUAUGGUUUCAGAACAAACGCUCUAAGUUUAAGAAACUGCUGAAGCAGGGCAGUAAUCCUCAUGAGAGCGACCCCCUCCAGGGCUCGGCGGCCCUGUCGCCACGCUCGCCAGCGCUGCCUCCAGUCUGGGACGUUUCUGCCUCGGCCAAGGGUGUCAGUAUGCCCCCCAACAGCUACAUGCCUGGCUAUUCUCACUGGUACUCCUCUCCACACCAGGACACGAUGCAGAGACCACAGAUGAUGUGAGUUGCCCAAGGGAACACCCUAGGGAAACGUCUGAACAAGGAAAAGAGGAUCCGGGACCUGCUUGUAUCUGCGAAAAGGAGCCAAAGGAGCAGGCUUAGGAGAGCUCAUAAGUGUGGCAAGAAGCCGACU